GACAGAGGAUGCAAGCGUUAUCCGGAAUGAUUGGGCGUAAAGCGUCUGUAGGUGGCUUUUUAAGUCUGCCGUCAAAUCCCAGGGCUUAACCCUGGACAGGCGGUGGAAACUGUCGGGCUAGAGUCCGGAAGAGGCGAGUGGAAUUCCCGGUGUAGCGGUGAAAUGCGCAGAUAUCGGGAGGAACACCAAUGGCGAAGGCGGCUCUCUGGGACGGUACUGAUGCUGAGACGCGAAAGCGUGGGGAGCAAACAGG
rnacentral:rRNA from 1 species